UUGAUUUAUCCACCAUUAAUACUCCAAAUUCAAUGACCCACCACAUGAAAUUGAUCGGAAACCACACAAUGAAUCCAUUUCACCACUCAAUUUGAGCUAUAGUUAAGUGUGUGAGGAGUUCCUCCUCCUCCAUUUUUCGUGACAUUAUUCAUCAAGGUAGAGAAAUGACAUUUUUGGAGGAGUUUUGCUUGGUGGUCAUCUUCUAGGCUUUGGGAAGUUGAUUAGAGGUGUACCUAGGGACUGAAAAGGAUCGGAAUCUCUUGAAGAUAUAUAAGUAACUUGUGUCACAAGUAAGCAGAUUGAUAAAGCUUCAAGAGGUGCCCAGAUCCCCGGUGAGACCUCUCUAGUCAGGGACGCGACACGUGGCUGAGACAUUCGACAGACCGUAUUUUGAGUGGCUGUAGGCUACUACCUUUUUGGAGUAUAUCGAUGUAGUUUAUAUUUCAGC